UACGUAGGGUGCAAGCGUUAAUCGGAAUUACUGGGCGUAAAGCGUGCGCAGGCGGUUCGGAAAGAAAGAUGUGAAAUCCCAGAGCUUAACUUUGGAACUGCAUUUUUAACUCCCGAGCUAGAGUAUGUCAGAGGGGGGUAGAAUUCCACGUGUAGCAGUGAAAUGCGUAGAGAUGUGGAGGAAUACCGAUGGCGAAGGCAGCCCCCUGGGAUGAUACUGACGCUCAUGCACGAAAGCGUGGGGAGCAAACAGG
rnacentral:rRNA from 1 species